CCUACGGGAGGCAGCAGUGGGGAAUAUUGCACAAUGGGGGAAACCCUGAUGCAGCGACGCCGCGUGAGUGAAGAAGUAAUUCGUUAUGUAAAGCUCUAUCAGCAGGGAAGAAAAUGACGGUACCUGAGUAAGAAGCCCCGGCUAACUACGUGCCAGCAGCCGCGGUAAUACGUAGGGGGCAAGCGUUAUCCGGAUUUACUGGGUGUAAAGGGAGCGUAGACGGCAGUGCAAGUCUGGAGUGAAAGGCGGGGGCUCAACCCCCGGACUGCUCUGGAAACUGUACGGCUGGAGUGCAGGAGAGGUAAGUGGAAUUCCUAGUGUAGCGGUGGAAUGCGUAGAUAUUAGGAGGAACACCAGUGGCGAAGGCGGCUUACUGGACUGUAACUGACGUUGAGGCUCGAAAGCGUGGGGAGCAAACAGGAUUAGAUACCCUAGUAGUC
rnacentral:rRNA from 1 species